rnacentral:rRNA from 1 species
CCUACGGGAGGCAGCAGUGGGGAAUAUUGGACAAUGGGGGCAACCCUGAUCCAGCCAUGCCGCGUGUGUGAAGAAGGCCCUCGGGUUGUAAAGCACUUUCAGCGAGGAAGAACGCCUAGCGGUUAAUACCCGCUAGGAAAGACAUCACUCGCAGAAGAAGCACCGGCUAACUCCGUGCCAGCAGCCGCGGUAAUACGGAGGGUGCAAGCGUUAAUCGGAAUUACUGGGCGUAAAGCGCGCGUAGGUGGCUUGAUAAGCCGGUUGUGAAAGCCCCGGGCUCAACCUGGGAACGGCAUCCGGAACUGCCAAGCUAGAGUGCAGGAGAGGAAGGUAGAAUUCCCGGUGUAGCGGUGAAAUGCGUAGAGAUCGGGAGGAAUACCAGUGGCGAAGGCGGCCUUCUGGACUGACACUGACACUGAGGUGCGAAAGCGUGGGUAGCAAACAGGAUUAGAUACCCUGGUAGUCCACGCCGUAAACGAUGUCGACCAGCCGUUGGGUGCCUAGCGCACUUUGUGGCGAAGUUAACGCGAUAAGUCGACCGCCUGGGGAGUACGGCCGCAAGGUUAAAACUCAAAUGAAUUGACGG